CAACAAGCAGUUUUGGAGGCCAACCAAGUACUCGCUACAUGAUAUCAUCAACACAGUGUUGUAUGAAGUUGUUCUUUUCUUAUGGAAACAGUAGUUUUUAAUUUUAGCAUCAAUUAUUUGCUUGGCUUUUUUCAUACCUAAUACUUCCUCGGGAAUGAUUUUUCCACCAUCAUUUAUCUCUUGAUGCUCAGCAGAGGGUAACUCCGGACUCUCCUCUACUUCUUUGACAACAUGACUUUCUUUUUCAAUGUUCACCAAUUCUUCGGACUCUACAUGUUUGGUAAUCACACCUUCACUUUUUUGUGCUUCUGAUUUCUGGUCAGUAUAUUCUACACUUUCUGCACUAACCUUGCUCAUUGUUUCGGGUAGAUUGAUCGCCUAAUUUAACAAAUGCAAAACAAGUGAUUAACUGUUUGUUUAAAUAGAUACAUAAGCAUGUGUGUAAAACAACACGAUGCUGCCUAGGUGCAUAAUUUGUUGUAUAGUGCAUUUCUGCCUGACCUCAUGGACUUGAGUUGCUUGAUCUUUGUCAUUUUCUUUUGUGCUGCUCUUUCCAUCAUCUAUAGGUGUUGGUUCCUCUUCCUCAUGUGUUAGUUCCUGAAUAGUUUUCUCAACUAUUCCACUUUGGACAACUGCCAGUGUGGCCGUGGCCUCUAUUGAUGGAGCAUCUUCCUC
rnacentral:lncRNA from 1 species